rnacentral:rRNA from 1 species
GACAGAGGCCCCAAGCGUUAGGCGGAAUCACUGGGCUUAAAGCGUGUGUAGGCGGAUCGUUAAGUGUCUUGUGAAAUCCCACGGCUCACCCGUGGAACUGCUGGGCAUACUGGCGAUCUUGAGCCACUUAGGGGCAACCGGAACAAAUGGUGGAGCGGUGAAAUGCGUAGAUAUCAUUUGGAACGCCAAUGGUGAAAACAGGUUGCUGGGAGUGUGCUGACGCUGAGACACGAAAGCCAGGGGAGCGAACGGG